GGGAAUUGGAGAGGGAAAGUAUACAAGAAGUUGCGCCGGCUGCUUUCCCCUUGGGGACACAAUUUACUAGCACUAUUAGAAAAACAGAAAAUAGAAAUCAGACCGUUCGCUCGCUCGCUUCGCCCUUUUCAGUUUUCACUCUCUCUCUGUCUCUCUCUGCAGCCGACGGUCGCCGCCGCCCCCGCCUCCUCCGGUCGCCCGUGGCCACGGGCUCACCGCCUCGGAUAUCUCCAUCAAGCGCUGCGAUUUGCAAGCGCCAAGCAGGCAGCACAGCAGCAGUGCGCCGCCCAGCCCUCGCCGUCUCCUUCGAUUGGCAGCUGCAGUGCGACUGUGCAGCGCCGCCCUCAUCUAUUCUUUCCCGCGCCCCGCCUCCUUUGGCCUCGGUGCCUCCGUCCGGCGACUCCGCAGCAGCAGCCGUUUCCAACAAAAGGUAAGCUGGUAGGCUAUUUGGGUGUUUUAGAAGUUUGAUUUUUGAUUUGUUUCUCGCCUUACCGAAGAAUCCGCUGAUUAAGUCUGAUAUAUUUUGCUCCAAAAAAGAAAAGAAAUCCAGUACUGAAAAAUGAAAAUAAAGCACUCUCCCAAUUUUGCCCCUUACCCUACGCGGUUUUGCUAUAUUAGUAGUAUAAAAGACAAAAUUUAAGCAAAAACCCUUCAUAUCUCUCUCUAGAAGUUGCGCAAGUUACAGGUAAAUUUCUCACUGUUGAUUCGUUUUCUCCUACGCGGUCACUUGAAAAAGUGACAAUUUGGGCCUUUUCUGCUUCACCUUCUUUUGGUAAUUUCAUAUUUCCCCCCAUCUUUGGUUUUUAUGAUCCCUUGAACCUGCACAAUCCAGAAUCAAUCAUGGAAUUGGUGUUUCCAUCAUUCAUUCAUUGUGCGGGUGGGGCUAGUUCUUUCUUUUUGGGGUGUUAAACGAGAAAGGGGGAAAUGGAAGUUGCAGAGAAGAAAACUGAUUUUUGUAUGUUUUCCGAAUGUAUUUGCUAGUUCUGGAGAGUUUGUUUCGAGUGAUUAGAUGGUCGAAUCAUGGAUGCGCCUGUUUCAUUUAUUUUAUUGUUACUCAAUACUGGCUCUGGAGAGAAAGGUGGUCUAUUUUUAUAUUUGUUGGAGUUGAAGUUACAACGUAAAAGAGUGUAGUUCUAAGGAAAGAAAAGGAUGCUGGUUUGAUUUAUUGCACUAUAGUUUCUCUUUGUGUUAUUAUUGUAGUACUCUUGUUUUUGAAAUUAUGAAAGAGACACAAAGGCAUAUUGUUUUGAUCAUGUUUCUGCAAUGUCCUUAAGAUUGGAUGUACGCCUUAUUGAUUGCUCAUGUUUUAUGAAUGGGAACAAUUUGAAUUGUUUUUUUGUCCUAAUCUAAUUUUCUUUUCUUUUUUUGUCCUUUUUUUGUGGUGUGAUUGGCAAUUCAAGGUGGUAUAAUAAUGCUUUCAUUUGGUGACAUUACUUUAUGGGCCUCACUGAUGCACUGAGCUUAUUGUUUGCGGCUGCUGUUUGGUUCGCUAGUUACGCUUUGN
rnacentral:lncRNA from 1 species